UACGUAGGAUGCUAGCGUUGUCCGGAUUUACUGGGCGUAAAGCGCGCGCAGGCGGCACUGUAAGUAAGGUGUGAAAUAUCCCUGCUCAACGGGGAGGGUGCACUUUAGACUGCAGAGCUAGAGGACGGUAGAGGGGGGUGGAAUUGCUGGUGUAGCGGUGAAAUGCGUAGAGAUCAGCAGGAACACCCGUGGCUAAGGCGGCUCUCUAGUACGGUACUGACGCUGAGACGCGAAAGCGUGGGGAGCGGACAGG
rnacentral:rRNA from 1 species